rnacentral:tRNA from 1 species
GCCCUGGUGGUCUAAAGGUUAAGAUUCGGCGCUCUCAAUGCCGAGACCCAGGUUUGUUUCCCUGUCAGGGAA